GAAGUCUCAGCUGUGACGCCCGGAACCCACAAACACCAUUUCUAUAGUUAACUACCACACUGUUCUUAACCCCCGGAAGGCGAAAUUAUCAAUCCUUUUAUGGCGAAUGCUUAGCUCAUGAAUAUUAACUGAGUAAAGGUUGAUCGACAACGUUCCAAAGGGAGCGUUAACGCAUGAUAUGUUCUUGCGUUACAUCGGGCGUUUUUGACAUGCAAGGCAGCAGAUCAAUGCCAGGUUUUUUUUUUUAAUUAUUAUUUAUUUAUUAAAUUUGUACUUAUUUAUUUAUUUAUUAUUAUUUUUUAUGAACAAUGCAGAUGAAUCUAGGGGCGGAAAAUCACAUAAUUAUUUACAUUUAUAAAAGGACAAGUGUACUGAGUGUUUGUAAUAGCAAGACUGUUAAAUGAUUGUAAUUGAAAAGGUGAGGUAUUCAAAUAAGCCCAUAAGUGUUUCUUACCUCUCCUGCAUAUAUCUUUACUAUUUUUGUAUGUUUUCUUUGUUUUUGUUUUUUUAUUGUUAAAACAAAUGCCAAGCAAAUAAAAAAAUCACUGCAUUCUGUCUAGCUGUUUGUAACGCAAAAACGUGUCCUGUGUGAACGGCCCCUAUGUAAUUAAUAUUCAUGAGUAUCCUUCGUCACACUGUUCACCAGCCAAUCAGGUAGUACUACUGAGGAAAUGCGGCGUAGGAGCUGAGCAAGUUUACCCAGAAUGAUCGAAAUUAUGUUUGUAACGGUGAAGAAUGUGUGAAAAUGGCUACAAACACUGCAGCAAAGAAUCCACAUUUCGACUGUCCGUCAUGGUAAAACUCCCUGCAUUCACCAUGUCGAUGACACGUCGCGUUAUUGUGCAUGACGGUGACAUUCGAAAAGUAAUCAUUCCUGAAAAACCAGCUGAUGUUGAUGCCUUGAAACGUGCUGCAAGAAAAGCUCCAGCUCACAUUACUCAUUCAGUGUCCAAUAUGAAGAUCCUAACUUUAAUCAUGCAUUAUGUAAUGUCAGUGACAUUAAUGAUUUGUCAGAGAGGGCAACCCUGAAAAUAAUUCCUCUACAGACAUCUCCCUCCUCCAGUCAAGCUGACACUGUACUUCUGAUACAUCAGAUCAGUUGUCUGCUGAAUGACAGUGUGAAUGGCCGGAGGAUUUUGAAAUACCCAAAUUCUCUGUUAAUGUUGAGUACUGUCUCUGUCAGGGAAACCUUGAUUUUAUGAAAGAUAGUACAAGUCUUAAUGUUGGAAGAGACAUAAAACAUGACAUAGUGGAAGCAUUUGCCGGGGCCAUGUACACCUUUAAGGCAUAUCCAAGAGAUGAAGACUUUGCCCAAGUUGCAGCAGCUUUAAUCAAAGCACAUCCCUGUUUGACUGAACAGGGCUCCCUGACAGGUUCAGCUGGCUGGAAAAACAGCCUGAAAUUUAAAAUGGCCAACUAUAGAACAAAACUGCAUAAAUGUGACUGUAGUGAUGUUACUGUUGAGGGAAAGAGAGGUGCAACGAUGGCAUUAAAAAACCAAGGCGAUUUGAAUUUAAUUUCUUGCCAAACUUUCCUAAUGGGGAAGAUGAAGAAAGUCAAGAAUGCGCAAGAAUACAACUUGUUGAAGAGGCCCCCAAACAUGAGCCUGAUUUGCCAGAAGAUGGACAGAACUUUUGUCUUGAAGGAAGGAAAUCAUCCACUCUGAACCUCCUGUUUUUGAGAUCUUGGAGAAGUGGCCAGCACUUUUCACAGAAAGCCAGGUCUUUGCAGAAUUCAGUCGCAUAUCUGGGAAAGAUCUGAGUUCUACGCAACGUUGGACACACACUCUGCAUGUUUGAUAGAAAUUUUUCGGAAAAAAGGAGGAAAUCAGGGAAGAACACUUGAUGAAAUUUUGCAUCAUGUUGACUCAAAGUCAUCUGAUGUAACAUAUGUUCGCACCGCAGUACUUCAGGGUCUUCCAGUCCUCCUGGGGGAUGACCCAGAGGAAUUUUUCAGGAUGAGCUUCGAUUCAGAUGUAGAUGCAGACUUCAGUGAAGUAGAUAUUGGACUGCUCACAGUUUUACGUGACGGCAUGCCUGCCAAACGUCCACAUGCCCUCAACAUGGACGCAAUGAGGGCAAUCAAUCUGGAGGGAAGAACUGUCAUGGAUGAUGUCCCAAAUUUGCCACAUGCUGUAUGUCUCCUCUUUGCUUUGAUCUAUGCUCUAAAUUUAGACUACCCAAAGACAAUGAGGAACACAUUUGAUUGUAUUCAGCAGGUAUUUCUGUCUUUGUGAGGAAAGAAUCUCAAACCCAAACUCCAAACCCUUAAAAAUCAGCUUUUAAGCUGAACUUGUUUCUGGCAUAUUUCGCUGUAAUUGCAGUUCAGUUUUAGAAUCUUUCCAAAGCCACAUGCAGGUCCAAAUUGUAAAAGCAUUUUUUUUACUUUUUUGGAGUUUGCAAGUGCCUGUUCUGCAAACGCUCUGUACCUUGUUUUAAGUCCAGAUAUAAUGUUGUCAUGCAGCUGCAAAUGAGUGCUGCAAGUGGUCUAAGUCUUAACAAAUGAUGUUUUAAAGGCAUAGUUUUAUUAUUGUAUUGUUCUUAAAGAGUUUAGCUGUUUAUUACACAAAUAAACAGUUGAGAAUUUCGAA